rnacentral:lncRNA from 1 species
GAUCCCUGCCUCUCAGGGAGGCAGCUAAGGCCCUGCGAGAAAUCGAGUGCAGCGCCAGUAGGCUGGCAUUGCUGGGGUACCCGGCGCACCCUCCACAGCUGCUGUCCCGGGUGCUAAGCCCCUCACUGCCCGGGACUGGCGGGGCCUCUCCAAGUGCGGGGCCUACCAAGCCCAAGCCCACCCGGAACUGUAGCCGGCCCUCAAGUGCUGCGUGCAGCCCCGGUUCCCGCCCGUGCCUUUCUCUCCAUACCUCCCGGAAGGCUGAGGGAGCCGGCUCCGGCCUCGGCCAUCCCAGGAAGGGACUCCCACAGUGCAGCAGCGGGCUGAAGGGCUCCUCAAGUGCGGCCAGAGUGGGCGCCGAGGCUGAGGAGGCACCAAGAGCAAGCGAGGGCUGCGAGGGCUGCCAACACGCUGUCACCUCUCAACAGGAGCCACCCUUAGUUAAACAAGUUAAAAAGGCUCCACCUUCUGGAGCAGGAGGGAGAGGGAGAACAUCAGGAAGAAUAGCUAAUGGAUGCUGGGCUUAAUACCUGGGUGAUGGGAUGAUCUGCGCAGCAAACCACCAUGGCACACGUUUACCUAUGUAACAAACCUGCACAUCCUGCACAUGUACCCCUGAACUUAAAAUAAAAGUUGAAG